rnacentral:rRNA from 1 species
UACAGAGGUCUCAAGCGUUGUUCGGAUUCAUUGGGCGUAAAGGGUGCGUAGGCGGCGCGGUAAGUCGGGUGUGAAAUCUCGGGGCUUAACUCCGAAACUGCAUUCGAUACUGCCAUGCUUGAGGACUGGAGAGGAGACUGGAAUUUACGGUGUAGCGGUGAAAUGCGUAGAUAUCUGGAGGAAUACCGGUGGCGAAGGCGGCAUCCUGGACCGACAUUGACGCUGAGGAGCGAAAGCCAGGGGAGCAAACGGG